UGUUUUUAUGGCUGAAGAGAGACAUUUCAAAGGGGUCUUCAAAUCCCACCGCAGAUAUAAUUAUCAUCCUCAUGUCCCCUAGAAUACCAUGAAACAACAAGUACACAAACCUAGGUCCUGCGUACCACUUUAUAAUCAAAACCAUCACCUAAAUAGCCUUUCUCCCAGACUCGGGCGCAGCAAAUGAGUUCAUAAAACCUGGUAAUCAAAAUAGUAUUUCAAUACAACACUUUAUGAUCAAAAAGCAAAAUUCAUGAACAAGAUAUGAAAUUUUUAAUAAGGAAGGAUCUGUAUUAUUGAUUUUUUUCUUUUGCCUUAGGCUCCAAUAUGAUUCAGCUCAACACUUUCUUAUUUGCUUCUGUUCCGAUGCAAGACACCACACAUCUGCACAAUGGAAUAUGCAAAGAAGGCCAAUUUGUGCUUGCUACAUCACUCUGAGUCAGGGAAGCACUGGGAGUGAGCACCCAGGAUCAUAGCAUCGAGACUCAGCAGACAGCGCUUCGCAGGAUAGGAGGGUUGGUUCCUGUCUCACGCUGUUUUCCGUUUCUUGCUAUGUCCGGAAAUAUAUAAAGAAAAUAUAUUUACAUUGCUUACAAUUCUGUAGGCCCAAGAGCAUGGCACCAGCAUCUGUGUGGGGCCCCUAAAGUGAGGGCUCUAUGCUGUGCAUGGGCAAAGACGGGAGAGAAACUGGAGCAGGUUCCUACAGAAGAGCUGAAUGGACAGAAAAGAAGCAACAGAAAGCCAGUUUACUUUAUUAACAAGCCUCCACAGGAUAAGCAACUCAUCCUUGAGGUAGCUACGUUAAUCCCUUUGUGAGUGUAAAGUGCCCACAACCUAAUUACCCCUAAAAGAUCCCUACCACUCUCAACCCUGCCAUAUUAGAGGCUAAGCCUCAAGAUCAGUUUGGGUGAUGAGAAACCAUGUUCAGACCAUAACAGCUCCCAAAGGCCAAUAAAACGAGGCUCUCACUGGAGCACAGGCUGCCCUCUUCCCCGAUACAACUAUUAUCAGUCCACACAGAAAUGGCAAAGCCCAGCACGCGGUGUUCACAUUUCUCCAAGAACUCACUCCACUUUGCAUCAGAGAAUCCUGCAGUAUAACAGUGAAAUCUCCACUUCUAAACAGCCCUGUAGUAGUAAAUAAUAAUAAUAAUAAUAAUAACAAUAAUAAUAAUAAAAACGGUAUUGAUCAGUGUCUACCAUUCAAGAGCAAUCGCUGUGAGAUGGAGAGAUAAAAGGGUACAGUAAUCUAUCUUUACUGAGCACUGGCAAAAUAAAUGGUUCCAGAGAAGGUUCUGUGCCCUGAGUUUUAGUUAUUCCUUAGCUCUUAUUGCUUUAGGGUCAGUGGGGGAAGACGUGCAUGCCCUCAGGGCUGUCGAUCAGAAGGGAUGGCAGCAGGUGAUUCUGCACUCUCCACUAAGGUAGCAGGAAAAGAAGAAAUGAUUCCUUAACCAAAGCAAAUUGGAGAAUUUUUCUAGAAUCGAAAGAAAUGUGUUUUGAAAAUAAACAAUGAAGGGAAGGCCCUCUUGAAUGGAGUGCCUUAUAGCACAACCGCUGGCCAGACUAGACACUUCACGCCUUAAGAUGACGUCAGGAAGGAGGGCAGGGCUGAUAUCAAGGGUCAGCAGGUAAUAUUACCCAGCUCCCAGUGCUCCAACAUUACCGUUCCCCAACCGCAACGUCCAUGCCCAUCCUGUGACACUGAAGGCUAAGUUUAGUAAUAACAUCUCACCACUAUUCUUCUAAUCUACUAGAUUAAUAAUAAAAUUUAGGAAUCUUUCAAGAUAAAAUAUCAAGCAUUUUAACAGGCAGUAGCUGGGUAGCCCACAGGUGGAGAUCCUGAAAAAAAAAAUUAAAAACUCCAUAGGGACUUUGUUGUUCUUAUGCACCCAAGUAUCUUCGCUAUAUAGGUCAUGUGCGCAGAGUAGGCAUUUAAUAAAUAAUUGUACGAAUAAAAGUUAAGCUGAUGAGGACUAUUAAACUUUUGCCCCUGCUGAAUUAUCAAGGCAGCCUUUCAGGAGUCUCGAGUCCUACGGGUCCUGUGUUGCAAACAGUUGCCAACAGAAAACAGGAAUGUGGGCUGAACUAGCAAUAAUUCCAGCACUCGGGAGGCAGAGACAGGCGGAUCUCUGUGAGUUCGAGGCCAGCCUGGUCCACAAAGGGAGUUCCAGGACAGGCUCCAAAGCUACAGAGAAACCCUGUCUCGAAAAACCAAGAAAAAAAAUCAUUGCUUCUGCCUCCAGAGAGACCGAAAACUUGAGUAGUCAGUGCUAUCCCUGAUAAGAGAGGCCUCUGAGAUUACUACCAAGAAACCAGUUGGGGGUGGGGGAUGGACAGAAAAGGAUGAAAAGGUAUCAGAAUAAUAUCAGACUAUUCAAAGAGUCCUCGGAGAAAUGCCUCGAAACAAAAGGCGAGAUUGUAGGCGAGGUUAUUUCCUUGUCCUACUGAUCUGUGGACUCUGUAAUGGAAUUCUCAGACUCAGUUAAAGACUGCAGUUCUGAUAACCUCUUCACCACCCAUAGAGUGCAAUAAACAGACGGGGCAACUGUCAAAACACCUUAAGGAGCGGCAUCCAGAGAGACAGGAAGCACCUAGCCCAGAGAGCAGUGCUCACAUGACCAACUUAGUGACCACAUUCUGGAAUGGGGCCUGUGGGCUCCGUGCCCGCCCGCGGUGGUGGUGCUCACCGAGGGCCAAGCCAAAUCAAAGGUUUGCAAACGGGACUGAGCCAGGGAAGAUCCUGGAGGUGGCUGACCCAAAGGGCCUGAGCCCACACUCAACGAGCCAAUGGCCGUGGAGAAGGGGCGGGCCGUCGGGAGUGCUGCAGGCCCGCAGGGCGCCCCAGCCUCAGCGCCGCCGACUGGUGAGCAGCCUAGCCCGGGCCCAUGUUGGAGCCUCCCGCAAUCCAGAGGUGUGCAGCUGCGCUCGCGGGCGCGCUCCUCCUGCUGCUUUUCCUGCUGCUGGUCCGCCAGCUCCUGAGGCAGAGGCGACCGGCGGGCUUCCCCCCGGGGCCGCCGCGGCUGCCAUUCAUCGGCAACCUCUGCUCCCUGGCCAUGUCCGCCGAGCUUCCCCACGUCUACAUGCGGAAGCAGAGCCGGGUGUAUGGCGAGGUAGGCCGCGACGCAGACCCUCUCCCGUCAGAAGCAGCGGCCAGAGGGAGUCCCGCCUCGAGGGCCGUGCCCCCGACCGGAAGCCGCCCCACGGCUGUCACCACAGGCGCUCAGGGUCCAGAGUCCCCGCCCACGGGCGAGCGUGUGCGCGUGCGCUGUGUGGCCUGUAGCCUGUCUGAGAUGCCUGCCCCUAAGAGGAACUUCUCGGCCCUGUGGCCCCUGAGUUUGAAUGAAGACGUUAUUUUCAGUUUAGAUCUUGGAGGCAUAUCAACUGUGGUUCUAAAUGGCUAUGAUAUAGUGAAGGAAUGCCUUGUCCAUCAAAGUGAAAUUUUUGCAGAUAGACCAUGCUUUCCUUUGUUCAUGAAGAUGACAAAAAUGGGAGGCUUACUCAAUUCUAGAUAUGGCCGUGGGUGGAUUGAUCACAGAAGACUGGCUGUUAACAGUUUUCACUAUUUUGGAUGUGGUCAAAAAUCUUUCGAAUCUAAAAUCUUAGAAGAAACUCAGUUUUUAAUUGAUGCUAUUAAAACAUACAAAGGCAAACCUCUUGACCUCAAGCAACUAAUAACAAAUGCUGUUUCAAACAUCACCAAUCUGAUCCUUUUUGGAGAACGGUUCACUUAUGAAGACACUGAUUUUCAGCACAUGAUCGAGUUAUUUAGUGAGAAUGUGGAACUAGCUGCCAGUGCUCCGGUCUUCCUGUAUAAUGCAUUUCCAUGGAUUGGCAUCUUACCUUUUGGAAAGCACCAAAAGCUAUUCAGAAAUGCAGAUGUGGUUUACGAUUUCCUUGCAGGACUUAUUGAAAAAACUGCAGUCAACAGAAAGCCUCAUUUACCUCAGAAUUUUGUUGAUGCCUAUUUAGAUGAGAUGGAUCGAGGUAAAAAUGAUCCUUUAUCUACGUUCUCCAAAGAGAAUCUAAUUUUUUCAGUGGGUGAACUCAUCAUUGCUGGAACUGAAACCACAACUAAUGUGCUUCGCUGGGCAAUUCUUUUUAUGGCCCUUUAUCCUAAUAUCCAAGGACAAGUUCAUAAAGAGAUUGAUUUAAUUAUGGGCUACAAUAGGAGGCCUUCUUGGGAAGACAAGUGCAAAAUGCCUUAUACUGAAGCAGUUUUACAUGAAGUUUUAAGGUUCUGUAAUAUAGUUCCACUGGGGAUUUUCCAUGCAAGCUCUGAAGAUGCAGUUGUACGUGGUUAUUCCAUUCCUAAAGGCACAACAGUCAUUACAAAUCUUUAUUCUGUUCACUUUGAUGAAAAGUACUGGAAAGACCCAGACAUAUUCUAUCCCGAGCGAUUUCUGGACAGCAGUGGAUAUUUUACUAGAAAGGAAGCUUUCGUUCCUUUUUCUCUAGGAAGAAGACAUUGUCUUGGAGAACAGCUGGCUCGGAUGGAAAUGUUCUUGUUUUUUACAGCGUUACUUCAGCAAUUUCAUUUGCAUUUUCCACAUGAGCUAGUUCCAAACCUGAAACCCAGGUUGGGCAUGACAUUACAACCCCAGUCCUACCUCAUCUGUGCAGAAAAACGCUGAAAGUGCACAACUGUAUAUUGUGUGAUGUUUUACUCUUUUGGCUUUUUGAGGGGCCCACCACCCAGCUCCAAAUAAAUCACACACAGAGGCUUAUUCUGAGUUAUGAAUGCCAGGCCUUAGCUUGGCUUUGUUCUUGCCAACUUUUCUUAUCUUAAAUUAACCCAUCUACCUUUUCCCUCUGGGGUUUUAUCUUUCUUACUUCUGUAAUCUUACUUUCGCUCUUACUCCUGGCUCUGUGACUGGGUGGCUGGCCCCUGACAUCCUCCUCCUUCCUCUCUUCUCCUUUGAUUUAUACUCUCUGCUUGCUAGCCCUGCCUGUCCUUAUUCCUGCCUUGAUAUUGGCUGUUCCGCUCAUUAGACAGAUCAUCAGGUGCUUUAGAUAGGCAAAGGAUCACAGCUUCACAGUUAAACAAAUGCAGCAUAAUCACACCUUAAAAUAAUAUUUCCCAACAACUGUAUUAGGGUUUAAUCAAUAAUAGUAUUUGGGCCAAAGCCACAGUUUUAUAAAGCCAAGUGAAUAUAUAUGCAUUGUUUAAAAUAGUACUAGAGCAAUAACAAGCAUUAACUAUGUUAUUUUUUCUAUUGUAGGAUGUAUUGAACAACACAAAGGUGCAGCUGUUAUGUACAUAUUAAAAGGGGCCAUGUAUGCACUAAAAAGAGUUCUGUUUAUUGUAAAGUUCCUCUGAUCUGGCUCCAUCCUGGGAAACUUUGCUUUUUGCUCCCAAACUGACUCCUUUAUGAUCAAGUGUUGGGAUUAGCAGACUGUGAUAUCAGUCCAGGACUAAAGAAAUAAAACCCACAUAAAUGAAUUUUGACAACGGAAGUAUUCUAGAUAAUGAUGGUAGGCAAUGGAAGAGCUUUAUAUUUAAUAUAGACCCUCCCCGUGCUUUCAGAUAUUCCUCUCUACUAUGUAUUCAUAAGAAUUGUGGCAUUCUUUCUAUAAAUAAGAGUUUCUGUGAUCCCUGAGCAUCCAUCCUUAAAGCAGCAGCUCAGUAUGUGGAAAUAAAGUAUGCAGUUGGCUAUUUCUUCUUUCUUUGUAGGUACAGUCAUUACAUUGUUUCUGGAACUACUUAUUUCUAAAAUUAGUCACAGAGCUCAAAGAUUCAAACAUCUUACCUUACUGAGGUCUUAGUCCCAGUCAGGCAGGUUUUCCCAACAAUAUUCAAAUCAAAAGCCUGUUAUAGAGACAGGGUAACUUGUAAUUGGGUCAUUUGAGAACGAUGAAAUGUUAUUACUAAUUAUACCAGGACAAAUGGCAUAUUAUCACAGGCCAAAACAAACUGGAAUGUAUAUUCAUUCACUAAUAGCUAUUUUUUCAUUAUUGUGUCUUCCAAAGUUCUUCAAAGAGCCCAUGUUCAUGUAACUUGUUUUGUGAAGAGUUCUAGUCUUAGAGUAAAGAAAUAUAACAAUGGUUUGCAUGAUGAGUUUGAAUCAAGAGCUCCAGAAAAGGCUCAGCAGUUAAGAGAACAUACUGCUCUUGAAGAAGACUUGAAUUUAGUUUUCACUGUCCACAUCAGAUGGUUUACAACUUCCUGUGACUCAAGCUCCAAGAGAAUGCAAUAUUUCUGGCACCCAUGGGUAUCUACACUCAUGGGCAAACACAUAAUUAAAAAUAAUCUUUUUAAAAAAUAGAACAUGGAUUUAACUUAAUUUGCCUCAUCUGGUAAAAAUCUCCUAGUUUCUGCGGUUCAAAUCAGUUUUGUGUUGUAGAAUAUUAGUUUAAGAUGUGUUAUUUUGUUUAUGCUGUGGAAUAUUUGUUUAAUGAUGCAAAGAUGUGUUGCAUAUUUUUUGUUGUAUUUGUUUAACUCUGUGUGAAGCUGUAUUCACUUUGCCUGUAUAAAAUACCUGAUUGGUCUAAUAAAGAGCUUAAAGGCCAGUAGCAAGGCAGGAGAAAGGAUAGGUGGGGCUGACAGGCAGAGAGAAAAAUAGGGUUUCACUGUAGUUUUAGAGCCUGUCCUGGAACUAGCUCUUGUAGACCAGGCUGGCCUCGAACUCAGAGAUCUGCCUGCCUCUGCCUCCUGAGUGCUGGGAUUAAAGGCGUGUGCUACCACCGCCUGGCUUGCUUACAUUUUUCCUUUUUUUUUUGAUUUUUUUAAUUUAUUAAAGAUUUCUGUCUCUUCCCCAUUGCUGCCUCCCCUUUCCCUCCCCCUCCCCCAAUCAAGUCCCCCUCACUUGUCAGCCCAAAGAGCAAUCAGGGUUCUCUGCCCUGUGGGAAGUCCAAGGACCACCCACCUCCAUCCAAGUCUCCUAAGAUUGACAUCCAGUUUUGCCAGCACAAUUUGUUGAAGAUGCUCUCUUUUUUCCAUUGUAUACUUUUAGCUCCUUUAUCGAAAAUCAGGUGUUCAUAUGUUUGUGGGUUAAAGUCAGGGUCUUCUAUUCGAUUCCAUUGGUCGACUUCUCUGUUUUUAUGCCAAUACCAAGCUGUUUUCAAUACUGUAGCUCUGUAAUAGAGUUUGAAGUCAGGGAUGGUAAUGCCUCCAGACGUUCCUUUAUUGUAUAAGAUUGUUUUGGCUAUCCUGGGUUUUUUGUUUUUCCAUAUAAAGUUGAUUAUUGUCUUCUCCAGAUCUGUGAAGAAUUUUGAUGGGAUUUUGAUGGGGAUUGCAUUGAAUCUAUAGAUUGCUUUUGGUAGAAUUGCCAUUUUUACUAUGUUGAUCCUCCCAAUCCAAGAGCAAGGGAGAUCCUUCCAUUUUCUGGUGUCCUCUUCUAUUUCUUUCUUCAAAGACUUAAAGUUCUUGUCAAAUAGAUCUUUCACUUCCUUGGUCAGGGUUACCCCAAGAUAUUUUAUGCUCUUUGUGGCUAUCGUGAAAGGUGAUGCUUCUCUGAUUUCCCUCUCUGUUUCCUUAUCCUUAGUGUAUAGGAAGGCAACUGAUUUUUUGGAGUUGAUCUUGUAUCCUGCCACAUUACUAAAGGUGUUUAUCAGCUGUAGGAGUUCUUUGGUAGAGUUUUUGGGGUCGCUUAUGUAUACUAUCAUAUCAUCUGCAAAUAACGAAAGCUUAACUUCUUCCUUUCCAAUACAAAUCCCCUUGAUCCCCUUAUGUUGUCUUAUUGCUAUUGCUAGAACUUCAAGCACUAUAUUGAAGAGGUAUGGAGAGAGUGGACAUCCUUGUCGUGUUCCUGAUUUUAGUGGGAUAGCUUUGAGUUUUUCUCCGUUUAAUUUGAUGUUAGCUGUUGGCUUGCUGUAAAUAGCUUUUAUUAUAUUU